rnacentral:rRNA from 1 species
CACGUAGGGGGCGAGCGUUGUCCGGAUUUAUUGGGCGUAAAGAGCUCGUAGGCGGCUCAGUAAGUCAGGUGUGAAAACUCCAGGCUCAACCUGGAGACGCCAUCUGAUACUGCUGUGGCUAGAGUCCGGUAGGGGAGCAUGGAAUUCCUGGUGUAGCGGUGAAAUGCGCAGAUAUCAGGAGGAACACCAGUGGCGAAGGCGGUGCUCUGGGCCGGAACUGACGCUGAGGAGCGAAAGCAUGGGGAGCGAACAGG